rnacentral:rRNA from 1 species
CACGUAGGGUGCGAGCGUUGUCCGGAAUUAUUGGGCGUAAAGAGCUCGUAGGCGGUGUGUCGCGUCGGCCGUGAAAACCUGCAGCUUAACUGUGGGCUUGCGGUCGAUACGGGCAUCACUGGAGUUCGGCAGGGGAGACUGGAAUUCCUGGUGUAGCGGUGAAAUGCGCAGAUAUCGGGAGGAACACCUGUGGCGAAGGCGACCCCCUGGUUGGAUACUGACGCUGAGACGCGAAAGCGUGGGGAGCAAACAGG